ACUCUUUCCCCACACGUAUGAGGCAUUGCCUGGUGACUGUGACUUAGUGUCUCAGCCUCUGCUGUGGCCGAUCAGCUGACUCGGGUCCUUCUGUUCUACCCAGGUGGAAAUCAUGACUAGAAGAGGAGAAUCUCGUCAGUGUUGGAAGUCCCCAGCCUGUGAGUGUCUGAGGCCAAAGGGCAGGACAGGCAGACCCAGAUCUUACAGCACCAAGCCCUGGGAGUUAGGGCUGACUAUUCCAGGAUUAUCUCAGAGACUCGAGAUCUUGGGUUAGACUCAUUCUGCUCUGGGUUUUAACCAACAGUGGCUGGGCAGACACUGGGAAGACUUGGAGAGUCCAAGCCACAUGAACACAGAAGGAGCUUACAAUGGCCACCCUGCCUCCUGCCUUGUGCAUCCUGGCUGGGAUCUGGAUCCUCUGUCUCAGGGCUGACAGCGCUCGGGACGUGGAGGCCUCUUCCACCAGCAGUCAAUCCCAAAGAUCAUCUAACUCGGCUCCCGUCCGGCUGAGCCAUCUCUUUGAAGGUGCCACCGUCUGGUCCACCGACUUGAUGCAUUUGGCUUUCGGCUCUCUGUGGAUGCUGCAAUGAAUUUCGUCACCAAGUUAAGCUCAUCUGUGCUGUUGAAUGAGAAGCUUCUUUCAUACUGGAAUAGAACAGAGGUUGCUGAUACAGCCUAUAAUGACUGGUACCCAGGAAGGUUCUAAAGUACUGUGAUGUCUUAACGUCUAAGUAAAAUCAAUCCUGUGCAGCCA